rnacentral:rRNA from 1 species
AUCCUACGGGGGGCAGCAGUGAGGAAUAUUGGUCAAUGGGCGGAAGCCUGAACCAGCCAAGUCGCGUGAGGGAAGAAGGCCCUGCGGGUCGCAGACCUCUUUGGACGGGGAGCAAGGCCGCCGACGUGUCGGCGGAAGGAGAGUACCCGUAGAACAAGCAUCGGCUAACUCCGUGCCAGCAGCCGCGGUAAUACGGAGGAUGCGAGCGAUAUCCGGAUUUAUUGGGGUUAAAGGGUGCGCAGCCGGCACGGCACGCCGGCGGUACA